UACGGAGGGUGCAAGCGUUAUCCGGAUUCACUGGGUUUAAAGGGUGCGCAGGCGGCCAAGUGUGUUAGGCGUGAAAGCCCGGGGCUUAACCCCGGAAUUGCACCUAAAACUACAUGGCUAGAGCAUUGGAGAGGGAUGCAGAAUUCCAGGUGUAGCGGUGAAAUGCGUAGAUAUCUGGAGGAAUACCGGUGGCGAAGGCGGCAUCCUGGACCGACAUUUGACGCUGAGGAGCGAAAGCUAGGGGAGCAAACGGGG
rnacentral:rRNA from 1 species